rnacentral:rRNA from 1 species
GAAAAGAAACCAACAGGGAUUGCCUCAGUAGCGGCGAGUGAAGCGGCAAGAGCUCAGAUUUGAAAUCGUGCUUUGCGGCACGAGUUGUAGAUUGCAGGUUGGAGUCUGUGUGGAAGGCGGUGUCCAAGUCCCUUGGAACAGGGCGCCCAGGAGGGUGAGAGCCCCGUGGGAUGCCGGCGGAAGCAGUGAGGCCCUUCUGACGAGUCGAGUUGUUUGGGAAUGCAGCUCCAAGCGGGUGGUAAAUUCCAUCUAAGGCUAAAUACUGGCGAGAGACCGAUAGCGAACAAGUACUGUGAAGGAAAGAUGAAAAGCACUUUGAAAAGAGAGUGAAACAGCACGUGAAAUUGUUGAAAGGGAAGGGUAUUGCGCCCGACAUGGGGAUUGCGCACCGCUGCCUCUCGUGGGCGGCGCUCUGGGCUUUCCCUGGGCCAGCAUCGGUUCUUGCUGCAGGAGAAGGGGUUCUGGAACGUGGCUCUUCGGAGUGUUAUAGCCGGGGCCAGAUGCUGCGUGCGGGGACCGAGGACUGCGGCCGUGUAGGUCACGGAUGCU